AAAAAAAUAAUUUUUUACCGAGGAAUUUCCGACGGAUUUUUUUCCCUCGGUAAUUAUCGAGUAAUUAGCGAGAGUUUUCCUAGGAAUUUUCUAGUUUCAAUUAUACCAACAUUUUACCGAGUGAUUACCGAGGUCAAUAUUUACCGAGAGGAGAAUUCCCUCGGUAAAUGUUAGUUUUAAUUAUAUUUAGAUUAAAUUUAAUUAUAAAUUAUUAGUAGUAUUUUGUACCGAGAGAACUGAGUCCUCGGUAAAUGAUUUUCAGUUAUACAGAGUACUAUCCCUUGGUAAAUUAAAACUAAAAUGAUACCGUCUCGCUUUCCUCCUCAUAACAUUUCCCCUCCCUGCCCUAAUCUUCCUCACCUCCUCUCUCGCCGUCGCCGCUGCCGCUGCCGUCCACCACCCCCACAUCCACCUCCCUUCUGCCGCCGCUGUUGCUGCUAGCCUUAGUUUUUCGAAGUUAAUUCCAGAGCUGCUCUGCUUCGAGAUCGAGGAUGGAGUUUGAUUGAGGAAUUAUUUAUAGAAACUAAAAGAACAAAUUGCACAUUAGGUGGAGUAAAAGAAAUUACCCUUCUCCUUCUUCUAUAACUUGAAAGAUUUAGUUUUGGGGCGUGGUGUAUUAAAGAAGGUUGAAUUGGAUGAGGAGUAUGAAGGAAAUGUUGAGGCCACUGGAGAUCGGAGGACUACUCUGUUGAACCAGUUGACAACACCUUGGUGUUGGUCUGUUGAAGACCACAACCGGUUUGGUGCACUCUUGUUAGAUUGUAUUCUGGUUUUAAUUAUAGUGAUUUGUUUAUCUUGCUGCUUAAUUAGAACAUUGCAAUGUUCUAGAUGUAUUAAUUUCAUCUUAUUAAUAACUGAAUAACAGUGCAUUCCAUGUAGAAUAUUCUCAACUAACUCUACUUGAUGCUGGAUCAUCCCCAUAGUGCUGGAAACAACUUGAUGCUGAGAUUUUGAUGGAAGAUGAGCCCCACAAGUAUCAGACUCACUUUAGUGAAUACAUUAAGAGGGGAAUUGAGGCAGAUAACAUUGAGGAGAGGUACAAGAAGGUCCAUGCUGUCAUUAGAGCUACUCCUCUUCAAAACAAGGCUGAGAACACAAGAGAUACAACCUUAAGAAGUUGAGUUAUGAGGAGAGGAAGGCCAAGUUGAUUGAAAGGUUAAAUGCUUUGAAUGUUGCUGCUGGGAACGACACGAUUAUAACGAGUGAACGACGACUUUGUGAAGCCCCUAUUUCUCAAUUGUGGUUGUUUUUUUUAAUGGAAUUCAUAUCGCAUUUUUGUUAUCUCUUGCACAUUAGGUUGUGACAUCAUAUGAUUUUAAGUCUAAAUUAUCUAUUCACAAUUUUCACUUUUUGGAAA